AUCUAAAGCCCUGGACACACUGUUUUAAAGAGAUAGCUGGAGAAGACCGCUUUCGCCGUUUGUCAUGUCAGCGGAAGCGUGGAGGUAAGAAGGGCCUAGCCAGGUUAGAGGAGUGGAUGAAUCUCCCAGUAGAGGGAAGAGCAAAGAUGCUGACACAACAAUGCUUGGCACACUGGCGAUGCUGGCAGACGGCGGGCGAGGGUGACGCGGGCACCGAGGCUGAGAAGAUGGGGGCGCGCGCACGAGGUGUAACCAGAAGAGGUCAGAAGUGCAGGCGGCAGUGAUGAGGUUGGCGCUUCGCGGUUGUUGGCAGUGUGAUACCAGAACUCCCUCUCCCAGCCAUUCUAACAGGGUUCUACAGAGUGCCCACCAGCAAGACCUUUAUCAGGUGUCAUCCUUCAAUCUCGGACAUUCCUGCCUGCAGAAUUGUGACUAUAAUAAACCUUUCUUCUUUAUAAUCAUCUUCUCUGUGAUAUUCAAGGACAGCAACAGAAAAUAGACUAAGAAAGGUUACUGAGUCCUGCUUCUUAACUGUCCUGGUAAGUAUACAGGGGGUGUCAGCCAGAAGCAAGGCUAUGAUGGGAACAUGGGGAGGAAUGAGCCUUUCUCAACCGAUUUAUCUGGGCGAUCUCUCUCUCUCUCUCUCUCUCUUUCUCUCUCUCUCUCUCUCUCUCUCUCUCUCUCUCUCUUUCAGUUUCUGGAAUACUGUAAUUACAAGUAUGAACAGUCACAUCCAGUUGAAGAACUCAUGAAUGAAUGUGUGUUAAAUGAAUUCCUAUUACCCAGCUAUCUCUGAGAAGAUACUGAUAACGUGGAUAUAUGGCAAAGUCUUCUACCUGACACACCAAGUCUCUCUCCUUAGAAAGUAGUCAUCACAGCAUGUAGCUCCAUCGAUAGCACAAACAGAAGAAGGCUUGAGUUCAUUCCUCAGCCCUGCGCAAACCAGGAGUGUCGUGCAUGCUUGUAAUGUCAGCAUUCAAGAGGUCUAGACACAAGGAUCAGAAAUUCAGGGUCUUCUCUGGAUCCAUACAGAGUUUGAGGCCCACCUAAGCUAUAUAAUACUACAUGUGUAUACGGGAGAAGGUGACCAUAGCCCACAUUCUUUCCCAUGUUGUUCAAUGGUGCGAUGUAAAUAACUCAAUCUCAGAGACAGAACGCAGUCUAUUCCUUAGAAAGAGCCACUUCUUGUUUUCUUGGAGUCCUGCAGACGGAGACUACAGUGAUGGCCACAGUAGGUAGGAAACCCCAAACUACAUUUCAGAAGAAAUGUGAACAUGGCUCACAUCCCCUGUCUUUGUUGGGGACACCAGCCACUCUUCCCCCUAAUACAUGGGAGAUUUCAUGGAGGAUCUGGAGAAAUCCCAGAUCAUGCUAGGGGAUUUUCAUAGCAACAGGGGAGGAGGCAGUUUCCUGGUAAAUCGUGGCACCUUGCUUCAUAGUGCUUAGUAACUUAGGUCUCAGACCACCACAGAGCAACAGGGUCCAUCACAUAAUUUCUUUGUUCCUUUGGGUCAAGGGUCAACUUUGUCCUUGUCUAUAGAAUAAUCAAUUGGAGGACCUUGUGCCCUUAGGGUGGAAUAUCUUUCUCUGUUUGUCAAGUCACUGCCCUGCAGGUGGCAGAAGAAAUUCCUUCCCAGUUCUGCCCCUGCUGCUAAAGGCAGAAUAGUACGUUUGGAGAUAGUGAUGAUGAGGGUGAGGUGUGUGUGUGUGUGUGUGUGUGUGUGUGUGUGUGUGUGUGUGUGUCUGUAUUGUGUGUCUACCUGUGUAUGUCUUUGUGUAUAUCUCUGUGUGUAUCUGUGAGUGUGUAUAUGUGUGUAUUUCUGUGUUCUUCUCUCUCUCUCUCUCUCUCUCUCUGUGUGUGUGUGUGUGUAUCUGUGUAUAUCUGUGAGUGUAUAUCUGUGUGUGUAUUUCUGUGUUCAUCUCUCUCACAGAUACACACAGAUAUACAUUCACAGGCACACAGAGUUACACACAACACAUUAUACACACAUAUACACACACAUAUAUACAGAGAGAGAGACAGAGAGAGAGACAGAGAGAGAGACAGAGACAGAGAGACAGAGAGAGAGAGAGAGAGAGAGAGAGAGAGAGAGAGAGAGAGAGAGAGAGAGAGAUACACAUAGCCUGGAAGAAGAACUUUGGUUGCUUUUAGCUGCCUGCCACAGGAAUCAGUAGAUUCCUGACUGCAAUGCCUGGAGCAGCAGAACACACACUCAAGCUCUGACCUGACCUCCCCCACCCCUUUUCGACUUUGUGGGACUUGUGUACAAUUUGGAAAAGAGAUGAAGGACAUCCUAGCUCCCAGCUGACCAGCCCCCUCUGUGGCCUGGAGACCCCAUUCCCUCUUGCCCUGCCCUACAGGCUUGCAAGCAUAGUUCACAGCUCCCUCUGUGGCCUGGCCUUCCCAGACCUUUCCCUCUAUAGACAGCCAGUCUCCGGCUCUCUCAGGCUCUAAACCAAGCAUUUCGGGGAUUGGAUAAAUGAAAGUACAUAUCUUGUCAUAGAGCAGCAGCGGGGGGAACAGCUGCUGCACCAAUUCUGCAAAACCCAGUGCUCCCUGGGGAGUCUGGGCAUCUUAGAACCUAGGGAUGGCGGCCUCCAAUUCUUUUAAUUGUCUGCAUAAAUAAUACCGGUCUUAGGAAGUUAGGGGCCACAUUUCAGGACUGGCUCUGUAUUUGUUAAUGGGCCACCCUGCCAAAGAGGUUAAGUCUUUGUGCCUGGAACGUAACUCAAAGCUCUAAGGGUUUAGUAGGGCGACAAACGUCUGUGUCUCUUUUUGCUUUUGACCGAAAUCCAGCAGGGAGGAGCCAC